UGUAAAAUUCAUUUAUGGAAAUGGAUCGUAAAACAAUAUAAGUCUAGAAACCACGUUAUCGCCAGACUGACUUUUAUUAAUGGUAAUUAAUCCCUAUAAAAGAAGGCACGCAACGGAAUUCGUCUUCAGUAAUCCUUAGAGUUACUAUCCUAACAGUCUGGCAACCUCAGCUGGUAAUGCAGCAUCAAUGCGGUCAAGAGGUAAAAGCAAAGACGGCAACAAAAAGACCAAAAAUCAGCGAGGGUCCAAAAGUAGAGGGAGUUACGUUUCGGCCACGACGAUGACGAUGGCGAUGGCGAUGAUCAUGGUCGUAAUGAUGCCGAGAUGCCGAAAAGGAAAAACCCGAAAAGUACCCAACAAAAGAGAGUCGGAGCCGGAGCCAUGUAAUUAAGGUGGUGCUGCACAGUGGAACUAAAUUGUGGCUGCUGCCACUGCGAAAACAUUUGGCUCAAAAUAUAUAGUAUACCCGCAUUAGAUAUCCAUGGUAAUGUGAUCUACAACAUCACCAUGAUUUCUCUGAGUGCACGUCGCUUGAAGUGGCUUCCCUGC